GCAAGAGAAUCACUUGAACCUGGAGGCAGAGGUUGCAGUGAGCUGAGAUCGCGCCAAAGGAAAGGGUCAAGGCAGAUCCAUUUCCCUCAACAUUUGGGCACAGACAGGCCUUUCUGGUAUAGGGGGAAGAGGCGGAUUUUGAUUUCGAGCCCCGUAAUUUGUUGAUUCUGAGAGUGUGCCCAUAGACAGGUUCACUGAAGGCUGCGUGGACAGCAAAUGCAACGGGCUUUAUGUUGAAUGGUGGCACACUUUGGGGAGCAGAGGAUGCACUGUAGGCUCACACCCUACAUCCGUGUGUUCCCUCUGUGUCCCAAGCCCAGGGGGAUGCCCAGCCUCAUCCUGCCCUGUCUUCCCAGGGCCAGCGGCAGUCAGCCCAUGUGGCUGCUGCACGAACCCCGCACUGACGCUGGACCAAGGCCUUGAGUGCCGUGCACGGACCACCUGCUUCGGACCCCACACCUGCAGUGCUGGGGAAAAUUACACCUUUUGGGGCCCCACGCCAGACCUCCCAGUCAGGAUCUCUGGGGUCUGUGCCUGGGGACUGCACUGAACCUUCAUCUCGGGUGAUUUGAGAGCCCCAUGAGAGUCCACCUGUGCCUUCCACACCUUUCCUCUGGGGGUGACCGUCCCACAGGGACCAGCCCCAGCCCUGCUCUCCGGGCCCCUACCACCACUGCCUCUUCAAACGCCGGCCCAUGAACCCCACAGGCACCCCGUAAGGCCGGCAGCAUCGUUUCCAGAUGGGCCCAGAAGCUUGAGCCGUGGCAAAGCUCAUGGGAUUUGGGAGCUGGGAUUCUGGGCUACUGUGCCUUGCACUCGCCCAAACCCAGCAGAGACUGUGGACUGGAGCAAGAGCGCUGUGAACCCAGCCUGGCUGCUCCCUGGAGAGGAGGGCGCGGGACUGGACUGAGCCCCACAAGCCUGAGGGAGGAGCACGGGCCUCAGGGGCUCCUGCUCUGGGCUACCACGGCUUCUUCCUGGCUGUGUUUCUUCUGGUCCAUCGGGCAACCUCUCUGAAUUCAACUGUCCAAUCAACAAAACGUGGGUAAGGGAGCACCCCUUUGCCUCUUCCAGGGUGGAAGGGGAGGGCGGGGGUGACCCUCUCUCGGCUUCCUCCCCUGUCCACCUUCCCAUUUUAGACCUGGGAUGGGAGACGUGUAGACUGUGUUCCAGGAUUCAGUCCCAGGUUCUUGGCAGAUGUGAAUGCUUGGCUGCCCUUCAGGCUGAGUGUAGCUGCCACAAAGACAAAGGGCCCAGCUGACCCUAGGGCUACUGUGUGCCCUCAUUCUGAGGCCUGCGAGUUGCCAGCCCUAUCCCUUCAAAGGGGUAGUUAGGUGCGUGUAUCUCACACCUGGACGCAUCACAAUGAGGUGGGAAAGUCAAGCACCUCCACAGCCCUUCCCUCUGGGACCCAGGGGAGUCUUCCCAGCCCCUAGCACUCCCCACUCUCCACCAAGGCCAACCAGCACCUGAGGGCAGGCCCCUCCCUGCCCCCAGCACAACUUCCUGACCAGGGACCACAGGCCUAGGGUCUGUGUCACUGAUCAACUGUGAAGGCUGAGACAUAGCCACCCCCACCCAUUCUGAAAAGGAAAAGCCCUCAGAGCUUCCCAGACUGGCACCUGCUCCUAGGGUGUGAGGAGGGUAGCACAGGGUCUGCCCUCAGAGACCUCAGGCUCAGAGAAUCAAGCUUCUCCCUCCCCUCCUGGGACCUACAGGGUCUGAGAUCGUCCACCAGGAGGAGGAGAAAGGAGUAGAGACCCCCUUCCUCGCUGCUGUCCUGGGACAGCCGGCACCCCUGGCACCCUCUGCCUCCCCACACUUCCAUGGCUUUGCCCUCUUGGCUUUCUGAGCCUCUGCCAAGCUUCUGUGCAUUCUUCAAGACCCACCUCAAAAGCCACCUCCAGGAAGCUGUCCUGGGUUCCUGUCCCUCGACCCCCAACAGAAUUAACUGCCCUCUCCUCUGCUCCCGCCUCCUGCUCCAGGCCCCUGGGGCUCACAGCUCUCAGGCUGUGGUUUUUCUCACCUUCCUGCAGCACAGCACCUCCCUGCGCAGACCAACCUUAUCCAAUCAACAAACGGGCACUGAGUCCCUCCCUGAGCAAGCUCCGUGGAGGAAAGGGGCCGCCACGUGGGGGAUGUGAGAUAGUUUAUCCCCUUGGCCUACAUGUAGGGGUGGGCUGGAUGAGGCACCCCUCUCAUUGAAAGUCCUGUGGAGGCUCUGAGGGCACCCACAGUAUCUAGAGCUGGGGCCAGAAGCUGGACCUGUUGCCAACCAAGACGCUGUCUCCCUGGCCCUUGCUUCCCUCACUGUGAGAAUAGGAGCGGUGCACGCAAAGGCAUGCCCUCAGCAGCCCUUUGAGGGGGGUGCUGUGAGGGGAUUGGUGGCCAGGGCACAGAAAGGUUAAGUGGCUGGCUGAGGUCACACAGCAAGGCAGGUGCAACUCCAAGAGGUCUCUGCACAGGGCAUGUUCUCUGUCUGCCCUCUCUGCUACUCCAGGUGUGGCCUCGGGAGAGGGCUGGUCUCCAACUGCACACUUCCUGGAUAGCAGUGAUCAUGGACACAUUUCAGGUUGGGCACUUGCAGUGCCAAGGGGAGGAGGACGCAAUGUGAAGGGAAGGUUUCUUGGUCGUGGUCUGGAUUGACAAGGAGGGCCAGAGGCAAACAAGGAUCAUCCAGACGGGACGGUUCACCUCUCCCUAACCUCCACAGCGACCCCAGGGCUGUUGGGCACCAGAGGAGGAAAUGCUGACUCACUAAUAGGAAGCUGGGACACACCCUCGUGUUGCAACCGUGGCCUCCCGGGGGUGCGUCGGCCUCAUCUGGCCACUGGGCUGGCGUCCCCCUCUGCUUUCCAUCAGCGCAUACUGGAUUCCCUCACCUUUUGCCGUCCCCACACUGCGCCACCCUGCACCUGGCACCACUCAGCACCUCCUCCUGGCCCUACCCGUCCGCCAUGGAAUCCAGCCACUGAGAAAGGCACCAUUGAAACAGACAUAAUCAUGGGUCAGAAGAUGUGACUCAGCCUCUACUCAAAUCUGUUUGUCAAACCAAAAGGUGCUUCGUGUUUAAGUCAAACUAUCCCUAAUGCAUUUUCCAUUCUCUUCAAAAACCACAGCCAUCAGUUUUAAAAAAAGACAGAAAACAUGAAGCACACUUCUCUUGCCUGGCUUACCAUUUUCUUUGAUCCAUUAAAAUCCAAGAGUGAGCCCUUCCUCGUCUCUAGAGUGUGGAGCAAAGAGGGAAUAAUUAUCCAUAAAGUGGCCUUCUGAGUGUUUGCUUUGCGAUGAAAGAAAACUUUUGAGAGCUUGGAAUAAAGAAGGAAUAUGUUUAACAAGAUUGGACUUACGCAAUGGCAAGAAGGAAACCGAGAUUGAAAAUGACCAAUUUUGCUGGUUGAGAGGCGUCUUGUUUUCUGGAAGAAACUGAGAAUCUGCAGUUGUAGACUGGGAAUGCUAGAACCUCUGGAGUGGCAUCAACUCGAUCGGGGGCCAAAACCAUGAGAAAGCACCAAUAUUUUCCACCGUUUUUAACCAAACUCGGCUGUUGUUGGUCUAAAACCUGCCCUGGGUUUUGAGGGAGCGGUGCUUUUGUGAGCCCAGCUUGCCUUGAGUGCAUGGAUGGGAACCUGAAACCAGCCAGUCUUGCCUCCCACCCUCUCAACUUUUCCAGUAAAAAAUGUGACGGGCACUUUUUUUCCAGUAAAACUGUUCCCCCAGCAGGACAGCCUAUAUGCAGCUAGGUUCCUGGCAAAUGAGCAGGGAAUAAUAGCUGGCUAGAGGUGGGCGGGACUGAAAUACAGCUGUCCACCUCUCCGGAAAACAUCACCCAGGGUUCUCCCCAUCCCCAUCUGACCUUCCAGCCACUAAACAAAUAAAUAAGGCCUUAGAAGCUCCUAGAGUCAACCACAGCCUCAGCUUCUAAACCGAGGCUGUGAUUCUACGAAACUC
rnacentral:lncRNA from 1 species